CAGUCGCCACGGGAAUACGUAGGUGGCAAGCGUUGUCCGGAAUUAUUGGGCGUAAAGGGCUCGCAGGCGGUUUCUUAAGUCUGAUGUGAAAGCCCCCGGCUCAACCGGGGAGGGUCAUUGGAAACUGGGAAACUUGAGUGCAGAAGAGGAGAGUGGAAUUCCACGUGUGGCGGUGAAAUGCGUAGAGAUGUGGAGGAACACCAGUGGCGAAGGCGACUCUCUGGUCUGUAACUGACGCUGAGGAGCGAAAGCGUGGGGAGCGAACAGGAUUAGAUACCCGCGUAGUCCCUGUCUCUUAUAC
rnacentral:rRNA from 1 species